rnacentral:misc_RNA from 1 species
UUAAAUUCAGCGGGUAGUCCUACCUAAUUUGAGAUCGAGAUUCAUAAUGUCAAGAAUGUGGGGUGGGUGACUGGGAAACACUAUGACCGAUCCACGUGAAUUGCGCACCUGUGCUGACGAGUUCCCAAGAAUGAGACUAUCACGUCAGAGCCAGGUGUGCGCACGCGGUGGUAUGCAUAGGCCCGAUUCAAUAUACAUUA